AGAGUUUGAUCGUGGCUCAGAUUGAACGCUGGCGGCAUGCCUUACACAUGCAAGUCGAGCGGCAGCGCGGGGGCAACCCUGGCGGCGAGCGGCGAACGGGUGAGUAAUACGUCGGAACGUGUCCAGUAGCGGGGGAUAACCUGUCGAAAGAUAGGCUAAUACCGCAUACGACCUACGGGUGAAAGCGGGGGACCGUAAGGCCUCGCACUGUUGGAGCGGCCGAUGUCGGAUUAGCUUGUUGGCGGGGUAACGGCCCACCAAGGCGACGAUCCGUAGCUGGUCUGAGAGGACGACCAGCCACACUGGAACUGAGACACGGUCCAGACUCCUACGGGAGGCAGCAGUGGGGAAUUUUGGACAAUGGGCGCAAGCCUGAUCCAGCCAUGCCGCGUGAGUGAAGAAGGCCUUCGGGUUGUAAAGCUCUUUCGGCGGGGACGAAACGGUCCGUGCCAACACCACGGACUAAUGACGGUACUCGCAGAAGAAGCACCGGCUAACUACGUGCCAGCAGCCGCGGUAAUACGUAGGGUGCGGGCGUUAAUCGGAAUUACUGGGCGUAAAGCGUGCGCAGGCGGCUCCUUAAGUCAGAUGUGAAAUCCCCGGGCUUAACCUGGGAACUGCGUUUGAAACUGAGGGGCUCGAGUGUGGAAGAGGGGGGUGGAAUUCCAGGUGUAGCAGUGAAAUGCGUAGAGAUCUGGAGGAACACCGAUGGCGAAGGCAGCCCCCUGGGCUAACACUGACGCUCAUGCACGAAAGCGUGGGGAGCAAACAGGAUUAGAUACCCUGGUAGUCCACGCCCUAAACGAUGUCAACUGGUUGUCGGGGAAGCAAUUCCUUGGUAACGAAGCUAACGCGUGAAGUUGACCGCCUGAGGAGUACGGCCGCAAGGUUAAAACUCAAAGGAAUUGACGGGGACCCGCACAAGCGGUGGAUUAUGUGGAUCAAUUCGAUGCAACGCGAAAAACCUUUACCUACCCUUGACAUGUACUGACCCUUUCAGAAAUGAGGGGUGCCCGAAAGGGAGCCGUACACAGGUGCUGCAUGGCCUGUCGUCAGCUCGUGUCGUGAGAUGUUGGGUUAAGUCCCGCAACGAGCGCAACCCUUGCCACUAGUUGCUACAUUCAGUUGGGCACUCUAAUGGGACUGCCGGUGACAAACCGGAGGAAGGUGGGAAAAACCUCAAGUUCCCCCAGCCCCUUUUAUGGUAGGGCUUUCACACGUAAUACAAUGGCCGGUACAGAGGGCUGCCAACCCGCGAGGGGGAGCUAAUCCCAGAAAGCCGGUCGUAGUCCGGAUUGUUCUCUGCAACUCGAGAGCAUGAAGUCGGAAUCGCUAGUAAUCGCGGAUCAGCAUGUCGCGGUGAAUACGUUCCCGGGUCUUGUACACACCGCCCGUCACACCAUGGGAGUGGGUUUCACCAGAAGUAGUUAGCCUAACCGCAAGGAGGGCGACUACCACGGUGAGAUUCAUGACUGGGGUGAAGUCGUAACAAGGUACCCGUA
rnacentral:rRNA from 1 species